CGUUAUCAGCAGGAUAUUCUAACCUAAGCCCUAGCUAGGAAAAAAAACCCUAACACCCGAAAUUUCUUUCACCAAAAACUGCCUCAAGCUCCUAGCCCUUGUUAGCCAUACCGUGCGCUACUUCUGCAGCCCUUGAGCACCCGUGUGCCUCCUACUGCCCCUGCAGCACAGCAGAACGCUCGUUUAUGUGCAGAUCAUCCUGUUUGCACACCCCAAAACAUCUUGAUCGGGACCUCAGAUCAAAAUCCUUCCUUCAUCAAUGUUUUUCGUCUCUGCCUCUUCUAUCUUACCCCCAAAUUCACUACACCAAAAGUAGGCUUUAGAGACAGAGCCUAGUGACGGAAUAAGAAAGGCGUCUCUAAUAAUAUAUAGUAGAGACGAAAUUAUUAAGAACGUCUCAAAUAAUGAUAAAGGCAGUAGUAUCCGUCUCAAUUGAUAUAGUGGGUCCCAUCAAUUUUUGUAACUUUUAAUUUUUGGAGUCG
rnacentral:lncRNA from 1 species